rnacentral:tRNA from 1 species
GAAAAUGUGGCUCAAGUAGUAGAGCACCUGCCUAGCAAGCAGGAGGCCCUUAAGUUCAAACCUCAAUAGAGCCA